AUUCCGACUUAAUAUGAAAAUCCAAACGUGUCUUGGUAUAUUUUGAAAAACAAAAUUAUCAUACAAUUCCCUAUUGAUCAACAAAUUGUUGGUAGUGAAGGCGAGUCCUGCGCCAUUCGACGUCACGUGUUGGCUAGAAAGCAUGGAGGACGACCAAAGGAUUUGCAGCAAGAUAAAUACCCGAAUGAAAAUUAGAAGGACCUGCAGGUGAAAUCCGAUGCCCACGUUGCAGUACAGCCUCCGCACUCUCUUAAUGCCCAGCAAAUAGUCACUCUCCCAGUUCAGGUCCGAUUUCUCCACCGAGAUCCCCAAAACGGAGCGGGAGAAGAGCUUCUCCCACCUUUUCUCCAGUGAAGUUGCAUUAGUCCUGUCCGAGGUGGGGUAGGAGGACACGAUCCCAAUCAGAAAGCCCAGCAGAACAACCGCAGUCCACGUCCAGCGCCCGCUGCUCUCGCACAUACUGGUGAGGAACCUUUGCGCAGUGGCCAUCCGGUUUACCCUCGGGGCACGUGGUCAAAAUUAAUGCCCCUAAAAAUACCACUCUUGUUUUUCUUCUUUCGGCAUGGUGGCAGGGGCUUAUUUUUGGAAGGCAGGUCGGGGCUGCGGGCAUGUAAUGCAAUAAGCCCCUCGGUAGAUGAGAAGAGCAGGGCGGCAGAGCUCGAGCUGGUGGCGGCGACGAUGAUGAUUACCAUGUUUCACCUCUCUGGAUGGGGAGCACCACACACACUCACCAAAACGCAAGCUCACCUUGCCUGGGAGAUCUUCGGCAUGACAUCACUCACCUUCGGGAUGACAUCACGCUGACCUCACCGCCGCCGGGGGUCAGCUUGAUCGCCAGAACCCAGUCGGUGUGCGAGUCCAGGCGCGCGGCCCCGGGCAGAGUGAGUGGAGCGCGAGGGAGCCUGGUGGGUUUCGUAGGCAGCUCCCAAAUUGGACCGGCGGUCAUAUGCCCGACGGGCCGCUUCCUUAUUUAGAAGGAAGGUGUAAAAACAGGCCAGUUGUCACUGCGGAGCCACGUCAGUCUUGCAAAACACUUCCUGCGCUGUUUGCUCAGGAAGCUUUCACUAAGCUAUAUUUUGAAAAUGCUCCCGUGAUUUAUUCAUCUGG
rnacentral:lncRNA from 1 species